UAUAUAUAUAUAUAUAUAUAUAUUUAAAACUUAUAGAAGAAACCAUAUGAUCUGUUUUUUUCCUCCAACAUCACGAUGGCACAUAUUUACCCAAAAAGUUGGCCAUGACCACCUAUCGAGAACCAUGCAAAUCCUUCUAUCCCAAUUCUUUGAUAUAUAUAUAUAUAUAUAUAUAUCUAUAUAUAUAUAUAUAUAUAUAUAUAUAACUAAUUAGCCACUCACCAGAAACCAUUGAAAAUGAUUGACCCAUGGAGCAAUUAUACAAAAAGGAUAACUUAAAUAAAAAUAAAUAAUAAUGAUAAAAAUAAAUUAAUUAAUAAAAACUAUUUACUUACAAUAGAACACGAUCGAUACUAUAUGAUAUACAUAUAGCAUAGAUCUUAAUCCUCUGUUUAUUUUUGUUGGAUUCUUGUAUGUGAUUGUUUUUUAAAUAGUACAAAUAUAUUUCAGCACAUUUGUAACUUGAAUUUACUUAUCUUUUUAAUUUUUUUUAAUUCAAUUGGUUUGAUAUUAUCUAUUAAAACAACAAUCAAGUGUUAAGAUUAAAAGCUGAGCACAAAUAAAGAUGAGGGAAAAAAAAAGACAAAACAAAACAUGCAGAGCAUAUAGGGAGAUCUAUCUGAAUACUGGUAAUAAAAAAAGUUGAACAUUUUAUAUAUUAAUAUACAUGCAUGUCAUACUUAUCCUUAGAAAUAGGACUCUACUUUGGAUUAACUUUUCAAAGAUGUCAUCCACAAAAAUCAUUAUUUUGAGCUCUCUAAUAACUCUUUCCCUUUCUAUUUUAUCACUUUUGAUGAAAAUGGCACCGCCAAUAUUUAUAGCAAACACUUUGCCUCUAAGUGAAAACAAUGUAAACCAGAAUAUAUAUAUAUAUAUAUAUAUUAAUUAGUUAGUACUUGGUCAUGUAUUACUAUUUGUUGGUUCGAAGGCUUAAGGAAUUAGAUGCAGAGAAUGACAAGAAGCUUAAGGUGCAUGUGUGCAUCGAAACGGCAAAGGGAUUUUGUUCACAGAGGUUAAUGCAGAUGUGACUCUUGAACAACUUGGCCACCCAAUUUUAAUUAGAAAGGACAUAUGCUGGACCUUCCAAUUCAACCAUGUCAAUAGCUAUUCUACCAAGUAUAUGAACAAAUCAAACUUCAAUCUAAUUUUGGUAAGGAUUAUAUCCGCUUUGUGAGCCAAGAUUGUUAUAUAUUUAUCUAUAUACAUGGUUUUAAAGGGUCAAAAAGACAUAUAGGAAGAAUAUAUAUAUAUAUAUAUAUAUAUAUAUGUGUGUGUGUGUGUCUGUGUCUCUGUUUGGUAGAGACGUAUUUUGAUUCAAUGUUACUGACUAGAUUUGAAUAUUUAUAAUGAAAAAUGUAUUUAUCACCA